rnacentral:misc_RNA from 1 species
GUAAUAUAUGAAAUGUGUUUUUCCUUGAAUAUAUAUUUUCAGAUAGGAAUUUAUUAGUAUAUAAAAUUGGGAUUGUUAAUAUUUAUAAAAUUAUAAACAAGAAAAUAGGACACUUGUCCCUACUCCACAUCCAUUCUGCACUUCCUUUUCCCUGCCUUGUUCUCGUCCCUGAUUUCCUAACCAUCCAGGGAUUGGUAUUGAAAAGGCUCCCUGUACACCCUCCCCCAUCUUCUAAUAUUCAAUUCAUUCUUGAGACAUGCUGCUCACCACAUACCCUUUCCGUUGGCAGGCUAGGAGAGCAAAGAUAAGUGAG